ensembl:lincRNA
UGACUUAAAAGUUAAUAUGAUAUUUCAGGGCAGGGCAGACAACACCUGCCUAGGAAGAUGGAGAGAGGAAGGAAAGGACUUCUCUUCCCUGAAUAUGCCAGAAAUAUAAAGCAAGGAGUGGAAUGAAAACAUCAAGGGGCAGCUCCUUGAAAGAGUUCAGUGAAUCAUCUUGUGGGGAAGAUAAGAAAUGUUUUGAAAUAUGUCUGAAAAGGGAAGAGGGCAUUCCAGAUACAGGAGACAUCAGAAAAACAACACAGAACAAAACAAAUCCUCCCAGCUGUGAUCAGCAUGCUUAGAUCUUGUCUUGAACUUCACAAGCCUCCUAGGGAUGAAAACCUACGUGGUAUGGUACCCAUGCUCCUCUUGCAACCACAGAGUUAAUAUCAGCUUCACUGUGUGAAGGUAAAC